rnacentral:rRNA from 1 species
UACGAAGGGGGCUAGCGUUGCUCGGAAUUACUGGGCGUAAAGGGCGCGUAGGCGGCACUGUUAGUCAGGCGUGAAAAGUCCUGGGCUCAACCUGGGAACUGCGCUUGAUACGGCAGAGCUAGAGGAUGGAAGAGGCUCGCGGAAUUCCCAGUGUAGAGGUGAAAUUCGUAGAUAUUGGGAAGAACACCGGUGGCGAAGGCGGCGAGCUGGUCCAUUACUGACGCUGAGGCGCGACAGCGGUGGGGGAGCAAACAGG